rfam:Homo sapiens chromosome 11, GRCh38 reference primary assembly.
GCCGGGCAUGGUGGCACAUGCCUGUAAUCCCAGCUACUCAGGAGGCUGAGGCAGAAGAAUCGCUUGAACCCGGGAGGUGCAGGUUGCAGUGAGCUGAAAUCAUGCCACUGCACUCUAGCCUAGGUAACAGAGCGAGAUUUUGUCUCAA